rnacentral:rRNA from 1 species
GACGAACGCUAGCGGCGGGCUUAAUACAUGCAAGUCAGGGGGGCAGCAAUGCUCACCGGCGUACGGGUGCGUAACACGUAUAUAACAUACCCUUUGGGGGAGGAUACACUUAAGAAAUUGAGGAUAAAACUCCGUAAGCUAAUGAUAAGGCAUCUUAUUAUUAGGAAGUUUUCCAUGGGAUUGGUAUGCGUCUGAUUAGGUAGUUGGUGAGGUAAGGGCUCACCAAGCCGACGAUCAGUAGCUGGUCUAAGAGGAUGAUCAGCCACACUGGCACUGAGACACGGGCCAGACUCCUACGGGAGGCAGCAGUAGGGAAUAUUGGUCAAUGGGCGAGAGCCUGAACCAGCCACGCCGCGUGCAGGAAGAAGGUUCUCUGGAUCGUAAACUGCUUUUAUCAGGGGAUAAAGAGAGGCUAUAUGCCUAAAUGAAGGUACCUGAUGAAUAAGCCACGGCUAACUACGUGCCAGCAGCCGCGGUAAU